AGCUCCAAUAGCGUAUAUUAAAGUUGUUGCAGUUAAAAAGCUCGUAGUUGGAUUUCUGACCGGAGCGGCCGGUCCGCUUCCUCUGGAGGCGUGACUACGCCGCUCGGGUCAUGUUUGCGAGGACGCCCUUCUGUCAUUAAGUUGAUGGUGGGAUGGACUUGCAUCGUUUACUGUGAAAAAAUUAGAGUGUUUAAAGCAGGCGUUUGCCGUGAAUACUUCAGCAUGGAAUAAUGAGAUACGACCUUUGUGGUUUAUUUCGUUGGUUUGCCCACCAAGGUAAUGAUUAAUAGGGACAGUUGGGGGUAUUCAUAUUCCAACGUCAGAGGUGAAAUUCUUGGAUCGUUGGAAGAUGAGCUUCGGCGAAAGCAUUUACCAAGGAUGUUUUCA
rnacentral:rRNA from 1 species